UACGGAGGGUGCGAGCGUUGUCCGGAAUCACUGGGCGUAAAGGGCGCGUAGGCGGCGCGGUAAGCGUGCGGUGAAAGCCCGGGGCUCAACCCCGGGUCGGCCGUGCGGACUGCCGGGCUCGAGCACUGUAGAGGCAGGUGGAAUUCCGGGUGUAGCGGUGGAAUGCGUAGAGAUCCGGAAGAACACCGGUGGCGAAGGCGGCCUGCUGGGCAGUGGCUGACGCUGAGGCGCGACAGCGUGGGGAGCAAACAGG
rnacentral:rRNA from 1 species